GGCAGAGGGAAGCCACCAAGGUGCCAUUGAGGAUUGGUGUCUGGCUCUCUAUGGGCAAGAGCGCCAGGGGACACACAGUGGGACCGGAACCUUCCAGAAUGUCUCCUCAGUCAGGGCCCUGUGCUAAUCACGAGUCUUUCCUGUUCAGAGCAGUGAGGCCUGAGACCCUCAACGGUGCUGUGUGUACAGAAGGCCCCCAGAAUCCACAGAAAGGGCCCGCCUGAAACCUAGAGCAUUUGUGAAGGAGGAGAAUGGAAGGAACAACUGGAUGUUGUAAAUGUUUCUCAUCUGGCCUUAAAAUCCAUGAAAGCUGGAAAAUGCCAAGGCAUCUGUGCACAUACUGGUGGAUUUUAAUGAGAGUCCUGUGUUUGGAGCACCAGAAAUAAACCAGCUUCAGAAGCAAAGUUAACAGGAGGAGGAAGCAGAGCUAGAGCUGGAAGGAGACCCAGCCAGCCCGGGCUCCAGUGACAUCAGCCGGUACACGCUCUUGUUUGCUUACGCUUGUUGAACUGAGUUUUUCAUAUGUAACUAACCAAUACUGGCACAUGUGAGACUGGGCAUGAUUCAGAAAAGCUGGAAGAUCUAGAGAGGGAUCUUGCA
rnacentral:sRNA from 1 species